rnacentral:tRNA from 3 species
CAAGAAUUAGUUUAAAAAAUAUUAAUUUUGGAGAUUAAAGUUAAAGAGUUUCUUUAUUCUUGA